UGUGUGUGUGUGUGUGUGUGUGUGUGUGUGUGUGUGUGUGUGUGUGUGUGUGUGUGUGUGUGUGUGUGUGUGUGUGUGUGUGUGUGUGUGUGUGUGUGUGUGUGUGUGUGUGUGUGUGUGUGUGUGUGUGUGUGUGUGUGUGUUUGCAUAUCUGGAUGUAUGCUUUGCACUUUUAGAAUCUUAUGUGUAUGUGCGCAACAGAGAAAGUGAUUCAAGCCAGAUAAGGGUGUCUGGCCCACUGAAAGACAAGCUAGGGCUACUUCACUCUGCCACUUUUCCCAUUAUUGCCAUGGCAACAAACCUCUUGAUGACUACCUGACAUCCUUUACAGCCUCAACUCAUCUACUGAGAUAGGAGAUCAAUAGGAUGAAAUAUGAGGGAUAGUAGAGCGAGAAUUAUGAGAAAAAUCAUGAAAACAGUUUUGUUCCUUUUUUUUUUUUUUAUUUACCUAUACUACCUACACUGAGUAAAAAAAAUGCAAAACCUCAUUUGGUUUAACUGCUCAGUAAAUGUCACAGCACUGCAGAAAAAGAAUCACACACACGCAGCACACAUUGUAAACCAGCACACACUUCUUUACUUUUUUAUGUAUUGUUAAAAGGAAACAUUUGGCAAGAGGAGUGAUAGGAAUACAUAAAAACAACAUUUUUUUUAAAUCAUAAACCAGGAAUGAAACAUGAAUGGGAUUAUUUUUCUUGGACUGAGCAAAGACAGAAAACAAAAAAAGGAGGGGGGACGAUUAUACUUCAAAUAAAGCCAAAACUUGAUAAAUGGAGCCUAAAAGUCCAAAAAAGAGACAUUUCUGAAAUAAUCCUUCCAUUGCUGUUUGUCAUGACGCACUUAUUGAAUGAAGCAUGGCUGUGACAAGAAGAAGGGGAUGGAGGUAAUCAGCUGGACAGAACAAACUUUGAUUUUUCACUUGGAUGAAGAAAAGUCAUCACAGCCAUGAAAUGAAAACGCUCCAAAUAUGUGGUGGCAGCUCAUCAUCCCAGUUAGAGAAAAUCUAUAAACCUGUGACAGUUAAAGUGAAAAUGAGGCGGCGUUGUACGAUUGAAGCAUUGUGUGCUCCACCUCACUGGCUCAUAAUAACUGUAAAUGUUUGAUGGCCAAAUGGGAGGCACUUCAGCAGAGGUUUUAAAACUUGAAGCUGGUGAAAGCCAACAUAUAUUAUGUCUAUAUAAUAUAGGGUCUUGUGUACAAAAUUGGAAGCAUAUAAAAUGUUUUUCACAUGAUACAAAUGUUAAAUACUGUCAUUUAACCUUUGGGAACUUGACUUAAAAAAAAAUCACCCAGCUGCUAAUAAACCGUCUAUGUUCAGAGUAAUGUUCAUCAGCAUCCAUUAAGGAUAAGGUCAUACUGGUUACUUUAGACCCUAGCCUACAUUGAGCCAGUGACAUAACUGCAAAGCUAUUCUGAGCCCCCAGAUAAGAAAAAUUUAAGUCAGAUUUGUCACUCUCCAUUAUAUCAUAUAAAUAAAGGCUCAUUGAUUUAAUAUAUCUUACAAAGAAGAACUAAAAAGGUAUGCUCCAGAGAUUAAGACACUUCCUAAAGCACUUAAACCUACAUUUCCCAUGAUGCAACUUAAAAAGCCACUUUGUGAUACACUUUCCCCUCUAUCAAAAUUCAAUAACCCAAGUCAUUCCAAAGGUUUUAAGAUAUUGAUUCGUAGUUUCCAUGUAUUUCACACUGAGAUAGCCUUGAUGACAUCACUAUGACAUCACAGUCAUACAGGCCUCUUUUAAUACAUCCCAAAACUAGACCGCUUUGAAAACACAAAAUAAGAACAGUCAGUCUAAUAUGAUCACAAACAGCCCCUUAAUAGUGAGCCCUCCCACUUCUCAGCACACACGCUAACCAUCAGCACAUGUUAGGAGCAUUCAGAAUGCUUGUGUCUAUGUGUGUAUCCCACACAGAUGUGUUUCUUUAGGGGUGUCUUUCUCCACACCAUCUCAACCAUCACCCCCCAUCUGUUGUUGUGCUUGGCAGAGUGACUGGCUUGCUGCCUGUCUACACGGUUUUACAUGCCUUCAUGGCUCUGUCCCCCUGCCAGCCCCUGUGGCCCCCACCGAUUGAUCUUUUCCAAGAAACAUUAGAGUCGGGCCGGCCGGAAAUCAAGGAGGGGGGUGUGGGGGUACGGAGAAAGGAGGGUCAUUUUACUAGCGUCCCUUAGAGAAGACUUUUUUUUCCUGUGUCUCAAACUAAAGUCUGGAAUGUGGGAAAAACAUGAAGAAAAGGUUGAACGUUGAAGGCAGAUAGUGAUAUAGUUUUGAAUCAUACUUUAGCUUUAAAUUAAGUACUAAUUGGUUCCAACACACGCCUCCAUUAUUACCACAGCAACAGAAAUGUGAUGCUGUGUCGUCUUGGCUGUAAACAUGUUGUUAUGCUGUUUGUGUAACCAAUGGAAAGCAUUCACAUUCCUCAAGCUGAGCGAUCACAUUACUUCCAACAGCUGCAACGGUGUGUCACAACUGAUACUACUUAUCGCAAAACAAGUGCAGCUAUUUAACCUUCUGGUUUGUGUUACAGAAAGUUCAGGGAUAGAUUUGUAAGGACAAGACUGAAAAUAUAAUGUGAGUCAACUUUGUGGCAAACAUUUUGAAGACUCUUGUGAACUCCCUCAUCCAAAAGACGGUAAUAGAUUUUUACACUCGGUGCUUACAACAGUGCAAAAUGACACUUGGCAAAUCUGUCUCCUAGAAAAUAUACAUGUGUGUGACUAAACACUUUGUAGUUUAAAGAAAAAAAACACCCUUAUGGACUAUGCUAGACUUGAAGGGCGGAUCUGUGACAUUCCAGUUCACAUACAAUCCUGUAUUUGAAGUUUUUGUUAAGGUACUGGAAAUAUUGCAGGCUUGUCUUGUUUCAGAUGUAACCACACAAAAUUUGUCAAUUUAACGUACAAAGUAUAUGGUGAGUCAUAAAACUUCCCUUUCUGGUGGAAAAAAAACAAUUUAAAUAAAUAAUUCAACUGAAGCAUUAUCAACAUUUUUUAGACUUGCCAGCCAUAUGAAUUUACAUUUUUCAUUAUGUUUAUUGAAAAUGUAAUCAGGUCAGUAUUUUGUGUUUAAGAGUUUUACUCUUGUACAUUCGCUGCAUAUGUAAUUUCUAAGAGACAGGGUGUUAUUUAGACAAAAUACAUUAUAUUCACUUCUAUUGUAUUCUAGUGGUGGCAAAUAUUAGAAAAACUGGCACAUCAGUCCAAAAGUAUUUGCAUGUCUAGACACCAUUAGAGGUAAGCGUAUUCAUCUGGGGGGUUUUUUGAGUGCAAAACAGGAAACCUCACAAAGUUGGCUCACUCCACUGAGAACUAAAACCUUAUUCUUGUGUAUGUGUCUUUAAUGAGUAAGAGUUGGGCAUUGUCCAGUUUUCUUUAAUAAAGCUGCCGGCUUGUUUAGAAGUAGGGUGGAAAAUAAUUUGCCCUAUCACACAUUGAAAUGGGUUCCAAUUCAGGAAGAAAAGACUCGGAUUAAGCAGCAGUUUAGAAGCAGCAGGGAGAUGAAACAGAAAAACAUGAACAUGAAAUGAUGAGAGGAUUUUGCCUCCUCUGUAAACAUGUCAUGCUAAGUCUGAUGUAUGCAUUUGGUAUUUAUAGCAACAUAAAAGAGAUGUAUGUGUUUGUGAGUCAGAAGUCACAACCAGUCUGAAUCCAGGACAGAUUCUUGGCUUCAAGGGUCUGUGCGGGACAAUUCUGCUCCACAAGUCCAUAUGUUGUGACAAGGCAGAUCAAAAAGAUGAGAGUUGGUGUGGUGCUGCAGAGACAGAUGGACGCAGUGACACAAACAUGCAUGAAGAGGGCAGGCUGACACCUGGCUGCAGAUCAAAUGCCACCAGAAUCUGGAGGGAAGCAAUCAGUGUUUGAUUGUGUUGAGCUAUGAGACUGAACAUACAGUGUGUGGACAACCCUAACAACAUCAUUUACAUCACCUAGUUUUUAGUUUUAGGCUUGAUUUCCAUGGUGAAAUCAUAGACUGUAUAACAAGAUGGACAGUGUAUCUCCACCUCCUCCGUUCUACAAAAGUGAAGUGAAGGGACAGGCACUUCAUAUUUAGCAUUUGGAGCCAGAGGCUGCACUGUAUGGAUCGGCGUGAAGAGCCUUGGUAUUGACAUCAUUACACUUCCACUACGAAAACAAAUUUAACUUACAGAUAAACUGGCCAAGAUCCCUCAGAUCAGUACAGUCCACAGCAGAAUAGAUUCUUGUGUCGGACUGAAACAGACCAUUACAGUAAUUGAAGUUCAAUGACUGGUGUUAAUGUUCUUCUUUCAUUGAUCUUCUACUCUGUUAACACGGUGCACAAAGCGCUGCAGGAGCAGCAUCAAAUCACAUAAUUCAGCUUUAUAAUAACUUUAACCACGAAUGCAGUUUUGAGAAAAGUAAAUAUGUAAGUGUUAGUUUAUCUAUUAACAUAGGGGAGUCAAGAUUUAUGAUCUAUACCCCAGAAGUGGGAGCUUUAAAUAUUUUGGCUUCACUUGAGUCACGUAGUUUCACUGUCCAUUCGUUAUACAGUCUAUGGGCUAAACCAAGACGGGUCAUAUAUUUCCCACAGUUCGAUCAAACAAAACUAGUUUUCUUGAAUGCCCACUGACUUGUUAAAGCUAUUUGUGAAGUACUUAACCACAGACAUUUCCAAAAAUAUUUCCCCAUCACAUGAGUGUGCUCUGUCACAAUUGUGGUGAAGUCCCAGAGAGGUUGGGGAGAUGAGGACAGAGCAUUGUGUCAUUCUUAAAUGUUGCUUGUGAAUGGGCAGAGGGCCAUCCAACCAUUUCAUUGGGUCAGAUUAUUUAUUUAAAUGUAUUUUUCCAAGCAUUUGAAUGUUUUGAAGUGAGGAUGAAAAGAAACUGCAAAAAUUACCUUCACAUAAAAUGUCCUACCCUUUCUUUAAUGGAUCCUAUCUGGAUGUUUUAGUCACAUUUCAGGAAUCAGAGUUUACCGACAGUGGCCAAACACCAACAAACCGUCUUCUGAUACUAAAUCCUAAUCUGUGCACAGAUUCACUGUCCUCUUGAAACCAGCUAGAAAGCAAAGAGGGAAUAAAAGCAAUUUCAAAUGUAAAUAGAAAGAUCUUUCACAACCGCAGAAAACGGUGUGUUUAUUUGAGAUCCCUUCAGUUAUAAUACGAAGCCGGUUGUGAAGAUAUUUUCAAGGCCUUUGAGGGGGCUCCAUAUUUCAGACUGUGUCUAACUUUGUGGUCACAGUUUGGGGAAGGCCCUUUCCUGUUUUUUGCCCCUGAGGCCAGGAAUGAGGUCCAUAGAGAGAUAAUUUCCCUAGUUUGGUGUGGAAAACCUUGACUGGCCUGCACAAAGCCUUGACCUCGAUCCAAGCCAACACCUCUGGGGUAAAUUAAUAAAGGCUCUUGUGGGAGAAAAUUGCUGCGGCCUUGUGGAAAUCCCUGCAAAAAAAAAAAAAGUGUCAGCUUUGAAAGUUUUAGAAUCUAAUGAGAUGUUUAUGAUCACACAUUGGUGUCAUUUUCAGGUGUGUCCAGAUUCGAGUCGGUGAACUGUUUUUAUUUCCGUAUUUAAAUUUUUCUGUGCCUGUGUGUGUGAUCUACUUUGAAACUGGAGCUCAUUAUCCCUGCAAUGCUCUGAAACUCGUCGUCCCUCAGCUGCCUGACCUGAACAGAAACAGGCAUAGAGAGAGAGAGAGAGAGAAAGAGGGGGUGGCAGGGUCAGACAGAGGCAUAAGAAGGGAAGAAUAAAAAGUUAAAAAAGGAGGGGAGAGCGAGAGAGAGAGCCUCCAGAGGGGAUUCGAUUCCCCUGCAAUAUGAAACAGAAACAGAGAUGGAGAGAGAGAAAAAUCGAAUGAUCUUACAAUCACAGACAUCACUCUUUGUUUUGCACUUUUUUCUUUUUUUGUGAAGUCAAUCAAUGUGUGUUUGCUUUUCUUUUUUUUUCUUUUUUUUUUGAAGUUUUAAUUUUGGUGAAAGUCUGAGAAACAUGGAGGGGGACUGGGGUGUUUUUUUUCUUCUCUGUUUUUCUAUUUAACUUUGUUUUUGUCCUUUUUUUUGUAACUUGGUCCACUUGGCAGCUUGAUAUUUAAUGUCUUUUUAAGGCGGUGUAUGUGAGUGAAUGUUUUUGUGUGUGGGCUCGUAAGCACUGUCUCAGCCUACUGUUAGAAUAGACUUCCACUCCACCUCACACAUCUCUUACCUCCUUCAAAGCCAUGAAAAAGGGGACUUCAUAUUGUGGUGGCCAUGUUUGUUUUUCUCUCUGUAACUGUUUGUUGUUCAGAUGACAUCAUGGUUUCCUUGUGACUUUUUCAGCAUCACAGAACCACUUGUUCAAAAGUUGCUCCUUGUUUGAAAUGUUCGAAGGGAUUUUGAUGAUUUUGAUCACCUUCACAAACACAAACAAAAACAAAAACACACACAAACAGUACAGCCUCUUUUUAUUACUGUGCUCUGAUUGUGUCCUCCGCUCGUCACACAAUCACACUACUGUAGCCGCUCUGUUUGUGCCCUCGCUGUUAUGUGAUCGCUAUGAAGGCUUGCCAUUGUGCCACCAAAAAACAAUUUUGUCGUUGCUCAGCCACUUAGAACCGGUUUGGGCCAGAUCCCGAGAGGAACACAGAAAAAAAAAGUUAUUUAAGCCCUUAUCUUUUGUUUUAUGUUUGGCGGCUGUCUGACUGCAAACUGAUGCUGGUUUGAUUCUUUUUUUUUUUUGGUUAUUCCUCAUCUUUUCCUCACCCUUUACUAUUGAUAUCCACUGUUUAAGAAAAUACUUUUUGCAGCUUAAAAACUGAAACAUUCUGCCUGCAAAACUAUGAAUUGCACCUUAAUGGAGUUUUUGUUUUUUUUGCUUACCUAAAAAGAUCUAAUAGCGGGGGAUGUAUCGGAUUAUUUUUACUUGUGAUAAAAGAUGUAACUGUAAAUGAGUCAGGCAUUGUAUUGUGUCUUCAAACAGGGUUAUGAUUUUGCUUGUUAAUGUCUGUUGUUUUCAUAAUUGAUUCAUUCACUGGUGUUUGUUGUGGGACGGCUUCAUUAAGCAACUUCUGAAAUGAAGCCUCAUACUGUUGAACAUGUAAACUGACCUUUCUACAUAACAAUAUUUGAACCUCAGAAGUUGUAGUUUUAAGAAUGAUCAUUUAUCUCAAUAUUUGAUGCCAUCUACCUUAAAGUAGUUGUCCUUAAACAUUUAUCUUUCAGGAAGCCCUUUGAAUAAAAACAACUUGUUUUUUAAGGCUUGAACCAGAAACA